GAGUAGUGGGCGAAGGACUGCAGAGCCAGGAGGGGAGGCGGGAGGGCUGACUUUACA
ensembl:misc_RNA predicted gene, 24420